GCAAACUUGGUCAUUUAGAGGAAGUAAAAGUCGUAACAAGGUUUCCGUAGGUGAACCUGCGGAAGGAUCAUUACUGAGUAACGUGGUCUCUCAGACCCGCUACCCGCCCUAUGUCAUAUGUUGGACGAGGUUGCUCUCGGGCGGCCUCCGACGUCACUUCCCGGGAGGCGUUGCGUCCCACCAGGCCUGUCCUGGAGGGGCGGGACCGCCCGGGGUCUUUUUCAAACCCUUUGUGAGAAUCUGAAGUCUGAAGCGAAAAACAAAAUGAAGCAAAACUUUCAACAACGGAUCUCUUGGCUCUGGCAUCGAUGAAGAACGCAGC
rnacentral:misc_RNA from 1 species